AACGAACGCUGGCGGCGUGCCUAACACAUGCGAGUCGAGCGAGAAAGCCCGCAAGGGUGAGUACAGCGGCGCACGGGUGCGUAACACGUGAGUAAUCUGCCCUGGAGCCCGGAAUAACCUCCCGAAAGGGAAGCUAAUGCCGGAUGAGCCCACGGGGUCUUCGGACCCAGAGGGAAAAGGCGGCCUCUGUAUACAAGCUGUCACUUCAGGAUGAGCUCGCGGCCCAUCAGCUAGUUGGCGGGGGAAUGGCCCACCAAGGCGACGACGGGUAGCUGGUAUGAGAGGACGAUCAGCCACACUGGAACUGAGACACGGUCCAGACUCCUACGGGAGGCAGCAGUGGGGAAUCUUGCGCAAUGGGCGAAAGCCUGACGCAGCAACGCCGCGUGUGUGAUGAAGGUCUUCGGAUCGUAAAGCACUGUCGCGAGGGACGAAUAAGGCGCACGCUAACAUCGUGCGACGAUGACGGUACCUCGAGAGGAAGCACCGGCUAACUCUGUGCCAGCCGCCGCCGUAAUAC
rnacentral:rRNA from 1 species